rnacentral:rRNA from 1 species
UUAAGCAUAUCAAUAAGCGGAGGAAAAGAAACCAACAGGGAUUGCCCCAGUAACGGCGAGUGAAGCGGCAACAGCUCAAAUUUGAAAUCUGGCCCCUAGGGUCCGAGUUGUAAUUUGUAGAGGAUGCUUUUGGUGAGGUGCCGCCCGAGUUCCCUGGAACGGGACGCCGCAGAGGGUGAGAGCCCCGUCUGGCUGGCCACCGAGCCUCUGUAAAGCUCCUUCGACGAGUCGAGUAGUUUGGGAAUGCUGCUCAAAAUGGGAGGUAUAUGUCUUCUAAAGCUAAAUAUUGGCCAGAGACCGAUAGCGCACAAGUAGAGUGAUCGAAAGAUGAAAAGCACCUUGAAAAGAGGGUUAAACAGUACGUGAAAUUGUUGAAAGGGAAGCGCUUGUGACCAGACUUGGGCGCGGCGAAUCAUCCGGGGUUCUCUCCGGUGCACUUCGCCGCGUCCAGGCCAGCAUCAGUUCGGCGCGGGGGAAAAAGGCUUCGGGAACGUGGCUGCUCCGGCAGUGUUAUAGCCCGUUGCAUAAUACCCUGCGCUGGACUGAGGACCGCGCAUCUGCAAGGAUGCUGGCGUAAUGGUCACCAGC